GUUCUUGUGGUUGAAGUUACAACGAUGGUUUUUCAGGCCAUAGGUCUUGGAGAUAAGCCAAGCAAGAAUU
rnacentral:tRNA from 1 species